rnacentral:lncRNA from 1 species
AUGGACGGACUGGAUCCGGAAGCUGAAUGCAAGAGCUCAAAAGGAGUUUGGCCCAGGGAUCCUUGCACCUCAGUCCAGCCCCAAGGUUUCUGGCCCUUGCACCUGAGCCCUGGGCUGGGUGCUUCCUUGAGAAUACUGAGGAGUAGCUGGACAAGGGCCAACGACAGCAGAGAAACACCACGACCCUUCUGGGCAGAGCCACAGACCAGCGUUAAUAUCCUGUGGGCCCUGCUCUUCCUACUGCUCUCUCCAGAAUACUGGGGUCUCUGGGUCUGGCCCUCUCUGUGCCUGAUCCUAGUACUGCAGGGCAGGGGCACAGCUCUGACCGGGGCAGUGCCAUGCCAGCAGCAGUAAGGCUACAGGAAGAAUAUUCACUGAUCUGGGCAAGCACUUCUCGCAGGUGUGAGGGUUUCUUGCAUAAACCUGCUGCCAGGGUCCAAGCCGGUGGUAGUUCGUUCCCCUAGCACAGCUGGGCAGAGCUGGCAGUGGAGGAGCAGCUGGGUUUCUCCCAAACUGGUCACAGCAGGGAAGUGACACUUUGCUUUCUCAUCAGUCCCUAAAAGCACUGAGAGUGGAGUGCUGUGGAAGAACUUCUCACAGCUUCUAAUAACUUGGUCAGAUGCAAAGGCUGGGUGAGGAAAGCCCUACCCUUAGUUGUUGUGCUGGCCAGUAGGAGAUACCUGGGCAACUUAUGUGUGGGGUUUUUUUUUUCCCCUUAAACUAAAUGAGUCGGAGAACAGCUGAGACAGGUACCUUGCUAAUCCUCUUGUCACAGGCAGGUAGAAACAUACUUCCCUCCUAAGAAAUGUCCCUUUAAUGAGGUCCUAGGUCACCUGCAUCUGUCAAGCACACGGGGCUCAGAGCAACGGGGAGGGCUCCAGUCCAGGCAGAAAGGGAGCCCUGGGACAUCUAGCCAUAACUGUCGGGGAAGCUAUUAACUCAGGCAGCGGUUUCGUACUGCACUGCAGAAGUAGUUAAAGUAGCAUGGCAGCAGGGGUGUUAUUGAAAGAUUGCAAUUAAGGCCAACUUUUGGGCCCCCCUCUUUACAGCCCAGCAAGGCCCAGGGAGGGCUCCAUCAGGGCAAUUCACAAAUUGCUCAACUAGCUAAUUAGUUUCAAUCCUACGGCACAGCAUCCCCUGCCCGGCCGCGCGAUGCUUUGUCCUCGUGUGCGCUCUGCAGCC